rnacentral:rRNA from 1 species
CUGAAGAGUUUGAUCAUGGCUCAGAUUGAACGCUGGCGGCAGGCUUAACACAUGCAAGUCGAGCGGGGGAAGGUAGCUUGCUACUGGACCUAGCGGCGGACGGGUGAGUAAUGCUUAGGAAUCUGCCUAUUAGUGGGGGACAACAUCUCGAAAGGGAUGCUAAUACCGCAUACGUCCUACGGGAGAAAGCAGGGGAUCUUCGGACCUUGCGCUAAUAGAUGAGCCUAAGUCGGAUUAGCUAGUUGGUGGGGUAAAGGCCUACCAAGGCGACGAUCUGUAGCGGGUCUGAGAGGAUGAUCCGCCACACUGGGACUGAGACACGGCCCAGACUCCGGGAGGCAGCAGUGGGGAAUAUUGGACAAUGGGGGGAACCCUGAUCCAGCCAUGCCGCGUGUGUGAAGAAGGCCUUAUGGUUGUAAAGCACUUUAAGCGAGGAGGAGGCUACUUUAGUUAAUACCUAGAGAUAGUGGACGUUACUCGCAGAAUAAGCACCGGCUAACUCUGUGCCAGCAGCCGCGGUAAUACAGAGGGUGCGAGCGUUAAUCGGAUUUACUGGGCGUAAAGCGUGCGUAGGCGGCUUAUUAAGUCGGAUGUGAAAUCCCCGAGCUUAACUUGGGAAUUGCAUUCGAUACUGGUGAGCUAGAGUAUGGGAGAGGAUGGUAGAAUUCCAGGUGUAGCGGUGAAAUGCGUAGAGAUCUGGAGGAAUACCGAUGGCGAAGGCAGCCAUCUGGCCUAAUACUGACGCUGAGGUACGAAAGCAUGGGGAGCAAACAGGAUUAGAUACCCUGGUAGUCCAUGCCGUAAACGAUGUCUACUAGCCGUUGGGGCCUUUGAGGCUUUAGUGGCGCAGCUAACGCGAUAAGUAGACCGCCUGGGGAGUACGGUCGCAAGACUAAAACUCAAAUGAAUUGACGGGGGCCCGCACAAGCGGUGGAGCAUGUGGUUUAAUUCGAUGCAACGCGAAGAACCUUACCUGGCCUUGACAUACUAGAAACUUUCCAGAGAUGGAUUGGUGCCUUCGGGAAUCUAGAUACAGGUGCUGCAUGGCUGUCGUCAGCUCGUGUCGUGAGAUGUUGGGUUAAGUCCCGCAACGAGCGCAACCCUUUUCCUUACUUGCCAGCAUUUCGGAUGGGAACUUUAAGGAUACUGCCAGUGACAAACUGGAGGAAGGCGGGGACGACGUCAAGUCAUCAUGGCCCUUACGGCCAGGGCUACACGUGCUACAAUGGUCGGUACAAAGGGUUGCUACACAGCGAUGUGAUGCUAAUCUCAAAAGCCGAUCGUAGUCCGGAUUGAGUCUGCAACUCGACUCCAUGAAGUCGGAAUCGCUAGUAAUCGCGGAUCAGAAUGCCGCGGUGAAUACGUUCCGGGCCUUGUACACACCGCCCGUCACACCAUGGGAGUUUGUUGCACCAGAAGUAGCUAGCCUAACUGCAAAGAGGGCGGUUACCACGGUGUGGCCGAUGACUGGGGUGAAGUCGUAACAAGGUAGCCGUAGGGGAACCUGCGGCUGGAUCACCUCCUU